UACGUAGGGGGCAAGCGUUGUCCGGAAUCAUUGGGCGUAAAGCGCGCGUAGGCGGCCCGGUAAGUCCGCUGUAAAAGUCAAAGGCUCAACCUUUGAAUGCCGGUGGAUACUGUCGGGCUAGAGUCCGGAAGAGGCGAGUGGAAUUCCUGGUGUAGCGGUGGAAUGCGCAGAUAUCAGGAGGAACACCAAUAGCGAAGGCAGCUCGCUGGGACGGUACUGACGCUGAGGCGCGAAGCGUGGGGAGCGAACAGG
rnacentral:rRNA from 1 species